rnacentral:rRNA from 1 species
UACGGGGGGGGCAAGCGUUGUUCGGAAUUACUGGGCGUAAAGGGCUCGUAGGCGGCCAACUAAGUCAGACGUGAAAUCCCUCAGCUUAACUGGGGAACUGCGUGUGAUACUGGAUGGCUUGGAUUUGGGAGAGGGAUGCGGAAUUCUUGGUGUAGCGGUGAAAUGCGUAGAUAUCAAGAGGAACACCUGAGGUGAAGACGGGUUGCUGGGCCAACACUGACGCUGAGGCGCGAAAGCCAGGGGAGCAAACGGG